rnacentral:tRNA from 1 species
GCGGGCGUAGCUCAGUUGGUAGAGCGUCAGCCUUCCAAGCUGAAGGUCGCGGGUUCGAACCUCGUUGCCCGCU